rnacentral:lncRNA from 1 species
AGAUCUUUAAGCUGCUCUCUUGAAGUUGAAAGGCAAGUGAGAAAUGUGGCGAGAGCAGGAGGAAUUUCCAUUGACAGGGCAGAGAGCACGUUUGUCAGAUACUCGAUGUCGACAGACAACUGUUGUGCUCCACGAUCAGUUACAUGUUGUAUCCCACGCAAUUGCUCCGUGUAAAGUGCAGCUGUACCCUCGGCAACCUUUAGAAAACAAACAAGAUCUAGUUGGUAGUACAUUACGAAUUUUUUACGCACGCCUUAACUAAUCUUACGGUACAACUAGUCUAACCUACAAUAUUUGCUCGUAGGAUACUAAACUCUAUGUAGACUACCGUAGAUUGAACCCAUUACCUCUUAACCCUUUUACCAAACCUAAACCUUUUAUUUACUUUACUACUGGAUCAAUCCAUGAUCAUAGAUUACAAAGCUAUAAACAUUUGGUCAUGUUACAUUGGUACUCUACAUAGUAUAUGCUCUACGUUUUGGUAACUAACACUGAGAUUCUGGAUAAUUGCAAUGAGUAUCUAUAAUGAGGACACCCGAGUUAGACAAGAAUUUCAUAGCAAUGAUGAUGCAAUGCUUUUUUUCCGUCGGUAACUUUGAAGUUUAAUAGUGAGUAAUGGGGUUGCUUUCUUCAACUUCUUUAAUGUAUAAAUGUACUUUCCCUCUUUUAUUACCGAUGGGACUUCUUUUCUACUCACCUGGUUUCAUGCACGCCGGUUUCUUUAAAUGAUAUAUGAAGCAAACAGAAACUAUGUGUAGGAGGAAGUCUAGUUUGUUUAGAAUUUGAGAGGGAAACUUAAAAAUCGCAAUAUUGGGUCAAAUUUUUUAAAUUUAAAUGAAUGUAGCUAUGGUACCUUGCACAUCCAUUCUGCAGCAAAAAACUGAGCCUCGUCAUUGUUUGCAUUGCUAUUAGAGAUACCCUCGGCAAGUGGCUCCAGCUGUUGGGGUAAAGUGAGAAGAUAUUCACCAACACUGGUAACGUAAGACUGGGGGUAAGAGCUGAAUGUUGGAAGAGGUAAGGCACUAUGUUCCUCAACCGAAGACCAUAUUGGCAAACGAGAUACAUCACUUAGGCGUUGUCGUACUUUGGAUAUGAGAACAUCAUAUACGAGUUCGUUAACCUUGUCUGCAAAUGCUGAAACUCUCUGAGAUGCAAGUGGAAGAGCAUGGAAACGUGGAUCUUUUGACUGCAUGACAUUAAAGAAACUACUCAGAUGCCAAAACAGAGAGAAAGACCAAUGGAGCCCAAAAUCUAAGCGGCAAUUGACAAGCGAAAAACAAUAGAAUACAAUUAAGCAGCUGUUAAACUUCUCCCUUUCUCUCUCCAACUUCUUAAAAAGGAAGGUGGUUUGGCAUUUUCUGAGGUUGGUAAUGGUAUGGUCAAAGAUGAUCCGACUACUUAGCUUGAAUGGGAUCAGUUGAAACCAAAAUCUAAGAGCAUGGUCGACACACGAUAUACCUUCAUCUAUAAAAUAGAAUUUGAUCUCUAUCUAGUUUUGAAGAAAAUUUAUAAAUGAAAAUACUACAAAUCUAUCUGGAAAGCAGAGAAACAGGCAUCUCACAGGAAAAAAAAGUAAGGGGAAAAGGAGAAGUAAAAGUGAUUGAAAAAUUGAUUAACCUGAUCUAAGAGGUUGAAAAGUUUUUUUGCCUUCUCAGGAACAUCAACAAGGCGAAUAGCUGCCAUAUCCAAGGCAGCCCUGCCACCCAUAGUCACUUCCCUAUUGCUGUAAUCGCCAACUAUGUGAGACUGAUUUUGGUCCAAACUCGAACCAAAGACUGAAACAGAUAAGGUUGUGCUCAGUCUGGCAAGAGUAGCCCUCAAAGAAGCUUCAAAUACAGAAGACCUGCUAGUCAAACAAUCAGCCACAGUUAGC